rnacentral:misc_RNA from 1 species
GAUGAAGAACGCAGCGAAAUGCGAUAAGUAAUGUGAAUUGCAGAAUUCAGUGAACCAUCGAAUCUUUGAACGCACAUUGCGCCCGGCAGUAAUCUGCCGGGCAUGCCUGUCCGAGCGUCAUUUCUGCCCUCGAGCGAGUCCAGCAUCUAGGUGCUGGGCCCGCCCGGCGUUGGGGCACUACGGGAAGCCCUGUGCUGUCCCCCGUAGGCCCCGAAAUGAAGUGGCGGUCCUGCCGCGGCGCCCCCUGCGUAGUAUAACAGCUCGCUUCGGGACCCGGUGGAGGCCUGCCGUCAAACCUUACUCUCUAAGUUUGACCUCGGAUCAGGUAUGGUUACCCGCUGAACUUAAGCAUAUCAAUAAGCGGAGGA